rnacentral:rRNA from 1 species
UACGUAGGGUGCGAGCGUUAAUCGGAAUUACUGGGCGUAAAGCGUGCGCAGGCGGUUCUGCAAGUCAGAUGUGAAAUCCCCGGGCUUAACCUGGGAACUGCGUUUGAAACUACGGAGCUAGAGUGCGGCAGAGGGGGGUGGAAUUCCACGUGUAGCAGUGAAAUGCGUAGAGAUGCGGCGGAACACCGAUGGCGAAGGCAGCCCCCUGGGCUGAGAUUGACGCUCAGGCACGAAAGCGUGGGGAGCAAACAGG